rnacentral:misc_RNA from 1 species
UGAUGCUAAAUGCGUUAAAAAUGUUCAUAAAAUCUAAGACUGGAAGCUAUUGUACUCGAAUGUCGUAUUGAGAGAUUAAAAUCGUUAAUUGUAUUAAUUUUUAUCGUCAUAUUCGUAUAGAAUUAUAUUAUCUUGUAUGUUCCUUGAUUAUGUUAUAAUAUUUCAACGUUGUUUUACAUUACAUUAAUAGAUACUUAUAUUUUCAUUUGCUCUAUUUUCAGGUGUACGUAUAUGUGUGUACGGGCGCACGCGCGUACCGAUGGCAAUGACAAUAAAUACUUGUACAUUCAGUACAAGAAUGUACUAUCUUUGUACCUCCUACUUCUUGCUGAAUUUUAAGCCGCAAUCAAAAUAUAUAAAUUUACUAUUUUUUAAACAAAAUAUUAAUCUAUACUCUUGAUUAUAUCAAUAAUAUGCAGUAAUUUACUAUUUAUUAAGACAAUUCACAUUAAGGAGAUUAAGUUAUAUUAGAGUGCAUUUCGCUAUUGAGUAAACCAAUCUAUAAAUGAUAAGUAUACAUAUGUGCAUGUACACAUUGCGAUUUC